GUCCGGAUGGCGCAGCGGUCAUCGCAUCUGCCUAGUGAGCAGGAGACCCGUGUUCGAAUCCCGGUCCGGCACA